rnacentral:rRNA from 1 species
AUUGAACGCUGGCGGCAUGCCUUACACAUGCAAUUCGAACGGUAACAGGUCUUCGGAUGCUGACGAGUGGCGAACGGGUGAGUAAUACAUCGGAACGUGCCUAGUAGUGGGGGAUAACUACUCGAAAGAGUGGCUAAUACCGCAUGAGAUCUACGGAUGAAAGCAGGGGAUCGCAAGACCUUGUGCUACUAGAGCGGACGAUGGCAGAUUAGGUAGUUGGUGGGAUAAAAGCUUACCAAGCCGACGAUCUGUAGCUGGUCUUAGAGGACGAUCAGCCACACUUGGACUGAGAAACGGCCCAGACUCCUACGGGAGUCAGCAGUGGGGAAUUUUGGACAAUGGGCGCAAGCCUGAUCCAGCAAUGCCGCGUGCAGGAUGAAGGCCUUCGGGUUGUAAACUGCUUUUGUACGGAACGAAAAGCCCCGGGUUAAUACCCUGGGGUCAUGACGGUACCGUAAGAAUAAGCACCGGCUAACUACGUGCCAGCCGCCGCCGUAA